GGGGGCGUAUUGGCUUCGACGUGGGUAGCGAAACCUGAGGUGCAUGUCGAGGUGUAGUUUCCUCGUAAAUCUGACUACAACACUAUAGUUGCCAACGACGACAACUACGCCCUAGCUGCUUAAUAACCAGCAUAGUGCCCUCGGCCUGAUGUGUGCUUAUACGCUCAGAUAACCGGGGUCGACUCAUAUAAGAUCGCGAUGAAGCAUGUUCGGUGUGGAUUCGUUAAAACUUAUCCGAACUCGCUCUACGUUUUCCCUGUCUAUCGGGUAAUGUAGGGCUAAAUUAAUAGAUAGAAUAAACAUGUAGAGCCGAAGGCAGAGUACUUGCGGACGCGGGUUCAACUCCCGCCGCCUCCACCA
rnacentral:tmRNA from 1 species